AUCGGCAUGGAGCCCAACGUGAGACUCGAUCCCGUGACCCUAGGAUCAUGACGUGAGCCAAAAUCAAGAGUCGGAGGUUCUACUGACUGAGCCACGCAGGCGCCCCUAAACAAGACAAUUCCAGAUGGGCACAAAUGUUAUGAAGGGCACACACAAGAUGAUCUGAUAGAAAGAGGCCCAAGAUGGGACUAUUUUGGACCUGGUUGUCAGGGAAGAUUUCUAUUGUGAGGUGACAUUGGAUCUGAGACCUAAAGGGUGAAUAAGAAACCCUGUAACAGGCAAGAGCAAGAACAAGGGCCUCUGAAACCAGAGCAAGUUUGGCCUGUGCAAAGACCCAACAGGAGGCCACCAUGCUUGGUGCGUAAUGGGAAGAGCGUGCGGGAAGAGAAAUGGGAGAGAGGAAGCCAGGGCGGGGCCACAUGGUGCAGGGUUUGAAGCACCACGCUAAGCAGGCAAAACUGGAAGCUGGUAUUAUUCUCCCCUAUUUUUCAGAAGAGAAAACAGAGAUGUUAAAGAAGUUGCCAAGGUCACACAGCUCUUAAAUGAUGGAACCAAGAUUCUAAUCCAGUUCUAUCAGGUUUCAAAGAUUGUUUUUCCCUAAAGGAUCUCAUCAGCCCAAACCAGCUGUCAUAACAGAACAAAAAGGCAUUACCUAAAGCUUUCUAUCUGAGAGAUAUUUACAUUUUAAUAGCCUGUCUCUUAACGAGGUUUCAAUGAGCAAAGAAAUGAAUUGCUUGUAAUGCUAUUUGGGGCACUGUAAUAGGUCAUAGAGGAAAUACACGGGAUCAGGGUGUCUCAGAUAA